rnacentral:rRNA from 1 species
CUGGGGAAUUUUGGACAAUGGGCGAAAGCCUGAUCCAGCAAUGCCGCGUGUGUGAAGAAGGCCUUCGGGUUGUAAAGCACUUUUGUCCGGAAAGAAAUCCUUGGCUCUAAUACAGUCGGGGGAUGACGGUACCGGAAGAAUAAGCACCGGCUAACUACGUGCCAGCAGCCGCGGUAAUACGUAGGGUGCAAGCGUUAAUCGGAAUUACUGGGCGUAAAGCGUGCGCAGGCGGUUUGCUAAGACCGAUGUGAAAUCCCCGGGCUCAACCUGGGAACUGCAUUGGUGACUGGCAGGCUAGAGUAUGGCAGAGGGGGGUAGAAUUCCACGUGUAGCAGUGAAAUGCGUGGAGAUGUGGAGGAAUACCGAUGGCGAAGGCAGCCCCCUGGGCCAAUACUGACGCUCAUGCACGAAAGCGUGGGGAGCAAACAGGAUUAGAUACCCUGGUAGUCCACGCCCUAAACGAUGUCAACUAGUUGUUGGGGAUUCAUUUCCUUAGUAACGUAGCUAACGCGUGAAGUUGACCGCCUGGGGAGUACGGUCGCAAGAUUAAAACUCAAAGGAAUUGACGGGGUCAUAGCUG